rnacentral:rRNA from 1 species
AGAGUUUGAUCCUGGCUCAGGAUGAACGCUAGCUACAGGCUUAACACAUGCAAGUCGCGGGGUAACAUCUGGUAGAGCUUGCUCUUCCAGGAUGACGACCGGCGCACGGGUGAGUAACGCGUAUCCAACCUGGCCCAUACCACGGGAUAGCCCGUCGAAAGGCGGAUUAAUACCGUAUGCUGUCAUUAAGUUGCAUAUAUUGAUGACGAAAGGACUGGCGGUAUGGGAUGGGGAUGCGUCUGAUUAGCUUGUUGGCGGGGUAACGGCCCACCAAGGCGACGAUCAGUAGGGGUUCUGAGAGGAAGGUCCCCCACAUUGGAACUGAGACACGGUCCAAACUCCUACGGGAGGCAGCAGUGAGGAAUAUUGGUCAAUGGGCGCAAGCCUGAACCAGCCAAGUAGCGUGAGGGAAGACUGCCCUACGGGUUGUAAACCUCUUUUGUUUGGGAAUAAAGUGCGGGACGUGUCCCGCAUUGCAUGUACCACUUGAAUAAGGACCGGCUAAUUCCGUGCCAGCAGCCGCGGUAAUACGGAAGGUCCGGGCGUUAUCCGGAUUUAUUGGGUUUAAAGGGAGCGCAGGCCGUGGGUUAAGCGUGUCGUGAAAUUCCGUCGCUCAACGGCGGACGUGCGGCGCGAACUGGUCCACUUGAGUACGCGGGACGUUGGCGGAAUUCGUGGUGUAGCGGUGAAAUGCUUAGAUAUCACGAAGAACUCCGAUUGCGAAGGCAGCUGACGGUAGCGCAACUGACGCUGAGGCUCGAAAGUGCGGGUAUCGAACAGGAUUAGAUACCCUGGUAGUCCACGCUGUAAACGAUGAUUACUAGGUGUGGGGGGACUGACCCCUUCCGUGCCGCAGUUAACACAAUAAGUAAUCCACCUGGGGAGUACGGCCGCAAGGUUGAAACUCAAAGGAAUUGACGGGGGCCCGCACAAGCAGUGGAGUAUGUGGUUUAAUUCGAAGCAACGCGAAGAACCUUACCAGGUCUUGACAUCGAGUGCAUAACUAAGAGAUUAGUGAAAUCCCUUCGGGGACACUUAGACAGGUGGUGCAUGGUUGUCGUCAGCUCGUGUCGUGAGAUGUUGGGUUAAGUCCCGCAACGAGCGCAACCCUUACCUUUAGUUGCUACGCAAGAGCACUCUAAAGGGACUGCCGUUGACAAAACGGAGGAAGGUGGGGAUGACGUCAAAUCAUCAUGCCCCUUAUGACCUGGGCUACACACGUACUACAAUGGCAAUCAACAAAGAGAAGCAAGACAGUGAUGUGGAGCAAAUCUCAAAAAAUUGUCCCAGUUCAGAUUGUAGGCUGCAACUCGCCUACAUGAAGUCGGAAUUGCUAGUAAUCGCGGAUCAGAAUGCCGCGGUGAAUACGUUCCCGGGCCUUGUACACACCGCCCGUCACACCAUGGGAGUCGGUAACACCCGAAGUCGGUAGUCUAACAGCAAUGAGGACGCCGCCGAAGGUGGGAUUGAUGACUGGGGUGAAGUCGUAACAAGGCA